AACCCAUUAUAUUCCUUACCCGACCCAACACCUAAUACCCAACCCCAAACCCGUUUCCCUUCUUCUUCCCCAAAUACCCACACACAAAAUUUCCCAGAAAACAGACGUGAAAAAUGCGGAAGAACAGACCCGAAAACGGAAAGCCAUCCCACGCGAGCCGUUUCCUCCUGCGAUUCGUACGCUCGCAGGCCUGGCAGCAAGCCUUCGUCCUAGCGACAACGGGACGAUCGUUUCAUCUCGACCCUCCACUUUCCCUUUUUCGUGCAAUUCUUCAGCUUUUGGAGAGAUUUUUCGAAUUUGAAAUUCGAAAUGGGCCUGGAACCCCGCCCUCCUAACGAAAACCCUAGUUUCUCCUAUAUAAACCCCCACCUCUCUUCAAAACGGUUGGAGCUUUUGGUUGGAAAAAAUUUGGCUUCCCUUUAUGUUUGGUUGGACGUUUUUGGUUGGAAAAUUUUCGUUUGGAAAACUUGGGGUUGAGAGAAAUCUUGGAAAAUAUUUUGGUCCGCUGUGAGUUGAAACUACGAAAAGGGGAAGUAGCAUUUCCGAAACGGGGCUUGCCUUUCAGUUUUGAUCGUGAAGUCGUCGCUCUCCAGCUCGCAUCGGCUCUGUUCCGCUGCGCCAGAAAAAGGUACCAACCCUAAUUGAUGUGUUCAAGUAAAAUAUACAAACGGCUGCUUUAAGGUGCUACGUUAACUUAUUAAUUGAAAUGUGUGAUUUUGGUCUUUUAAAUUGAUAGAUACCAUAUAUUUAACAAAAUCUGUGGUUAAAAAAUAUACUAUAGAAAAGAAAAAAGAUAUACGUUUAAAAAAAUAAAAAAUAAAAUAUAUGAUAGAUGAGGUGGGCCUUUUUAUUACAUUCCAAACCUUAUUUUUUGCCUAUUUUUCUAAUGAUCUUUGUUCUUCCAGUAACUUUAUAUUAUUUCACUGUAAAAUCAAUUUAGAUCUUUUCUUUUUGUUCUUUAA